AACUGUCUCCAGGUGAUCAAUGAAAAGAGUCCAGAAUUAGUCAACAGAAAACACAUAAUCUUCCAUCAGGAUAACACAAGACUACAUGUUUCCUUGAUGACGGAGCAAAAACUGUUACAGCUUGGUGAGGAAGUUCUGAUUCAUCCGCCAUAUUCGCUAG